rnacentral:rRNA from 1 species
GAUGAACGCUGGCGGCGUGCCUAAUACAUGCAAGUCGAGCGAACAGACGAGGAGCUUGCUCCUCUGAUGUUAGCGGCGGACGGGUGAGUAACACGUGGAUAACCUACCUAUAAGACUGGGAUAACUUCGGGAAACCGGAGCUAAUACCGGAUAACAUGUUGAACCGCAUGGUUCAACAGUGAAAGACGGUCUUGCUGUCACUUAUAGAUUGAUCCGCGCCGCAUUAGCUAGUUGGUAAGGUAACGGCUUACCAAGGCAACGAUGCGUAGCCGACCUGAGAGGGUGAUCGGCCACACUGGAACUGAGACACGGUCCAGACUCCUACGGGAGGCAGCAGUAGGGAAUCUUCCGCAAUGGGCGAAAGCCUGACGGAGCAACGCCGCGUGAGUGAAGAAGGUCUUCGGAUCGUAAAACUCUGUUAUUAGGGAAGAACAAAUGUGUAAGUAACUAUGCACGUCUUGACGGUACCUAAUCAGAAAGCCACGGCUAACUACGUG